AUGAUCUUGGGGAUAGUUCCUCUUAACUUGAGGCACUGCCUCUUUAGCUCCUCGUUGUCACACGUACAGACAUCUAAUACUUGCAGUGAUUUUGGGAGGCCGCCCUUGGGUAGUGAAGUGAUUACUGUACUCGCGCCGAUCUGUAGUUCCUGCAGAGAUCUUGGGAGGCCAUCCUCCGGUAGCCACUUUAAGGUGGGGCAGUUCCAGAUUACAAAUUUUUGCAGAGAGCUUGGGAGGCCGUUUUUGGGCAGAGACACCAGGGCAGGGCAGCUGGAGAUAUGUAAUACUUGCAGAGAGCUUGGGAGGCCGUUUUUGGGCAGACACCAGGGCAGGGCAGCUAUGAGACAUCUAAUACAAUCCCCCCCCCUGAUUUAA
rnacentral:rRNA from 1 species